rnacentral:rRNA from 1 species
GACGUAGGGCGCAAGCGUUGUCCGGAUUUAUUGGGCGUAAAGAGCUCGUAGGCGGCUUGUUGCGUCGUCCGUGAAAACCCGUGGCUCAACUGCGGGCUUGCGGACGAUACGGGCAGGCUGGAGUUCGGUAGGGGAGACUGGAAUUCCUGGUGUAGCGGUGAAAUGCGCAGAUAUCAGGAGGAACACCGGUGGCGAAGGCGGGUCUCUGGGCCGAUACUGACGCUGAGGAGCGAAAGCUAGGGGAGCAAACAGG